GCAAUGAUUAAACUUUUAUAUAUAGCUGGAAGAAAUUUAUGCUGAAAACAACCUUCAACAAUCCUGGGGAGGUGGUGAGCAAAGUGGCGCUUACAGCCAGCAGCAUCCUCAAACUCAGGGUUUUUUCCAACCUCUAGAAUGCAACUCCACCUUGCAAAUAGGGUAUGAUCCAGCAAGUUCAAGCCAAAUAACAGGUGUAACCAGUGGCCAGAACAUCAGUGGCAUAGUCCCAGGUUGGAUGCUGUGAAUGUACCUUAAAAGCUAAUCUUCAUGUCAUAUCAUAAGCAAAUAAAUGCAGUUAUUCAGCUAUCUGAGAACUGUAACCUCCUUUCUCUUAGUUUCUAAUUUUGUGCAAAGCGCUGUGGAUACAGUUGCUUAGAGAUGUUUUAUCAACCAUAGCUGAUGUAGAACAAUUUUAUGACACAUUUAAAGCACUUUUCCACAAUCUUUAUACUGUGAGAAAGCUUCAACUUUUAACAUA